UUACAUUUGCUAAUGAACAGGGCUUCAGCAGAUGAAGGACUAGAUACACUCAAAUAAAAAAUAGUAGAAGUGAGAAAGUUGAUAAAUGUGAUUUUUAAACUUUUUUUGCAUGCAAACAUGAACCAUCUAUUUUAUGCGCUCUUUAAAGCACAGAAAAAACCUCUAUGUAGUAUUUUUUUCUGCCGUACACCUGUACUACAGCCAUAACCAACAGUUUCCUUGAAUUAACUAUUAUUUUUACAGUAGCAGUACUAGUGUAUUUUAACUAUGAAAGGCUUUUACAUUAAAAAGUAUUUAUCUUGUUAUAAGUAUUUCCAUUAGAUUUAGAGAUUUGUAUUGGACAUUCAACAUAGACAGUAUUCAAAAAGGACCUAAGGUUGCGCUUUGUAAUAAAGCUAAAAAGGAAAAGAGGGAAUACAAUAAACCAGAAACUUGUAACAUGCUUCUGUGAGAGUAAAAAUGGAUUUAUGUAUUAAGACAAGCUUAUCAAUAUGAUAAAGUUAAAUUUAGUGUUACAAUAUUUAUCAAAAAUAUUGUAACAUAAUUGUAAAAACAUAGAAAAAAAGAAAUACCAUCAGUUUACCUUUGUUUCUUUAUAGGCUGGUAUUAAUGACUUAAAGCACUCAAAUAUGAAAUUUAUACAAUGAUCAAUACGUUUCCUUAUAUGUUCUUUCAAAUGCAAUUUCAUAUUUAGAUGUAAUCAUUUUAAACAACUUUUAUAGCAUCACAGCUUCAGACUAAUGCCAUUCAUCUGAGGGAAACACCCCACUUCCACAACUGUCUGUCUGAACCAUAUGACCAAAGCCAAAACUGCUGUAAUUUCAGAGUAGCAGACCAGGCAUAUGCUUUUAUACAUCAGAGUAUAAUGGGCUAUGAGGGAUCUGAGACAACACCAGGUUAGUUGGAAACAGUACCUAAAAGCUUGGAGAUGCUGAACACAAAAAUACAUUGUGAUAGAGGUUUGAAAAAGUAUAUCUGUAUGUAAAUUUUUUUGCUACUUUUGUCCUGACAGUAACAGCAACCACAUGCCUGUUGCAAGUAAAAAUAAAUGACGAAAGAAUACAGAAUCUGCAUGUCCACUUGUUUUCCUCAAAACAACAAGUUAUCUUAAGGGAGUGAUGUGGCCUGCAAAAGACAAGGAAUAGUUCAAAGGCUAAAUUCAGCUGAAAGGGAGGGUAAAGGUAGAAACACAAAUGAGAUAAAAGAAAAUGACAACAGAUAAGAACUGAGUGAUGCCCUGUGACAGGACCAGAGGCAGUGGGCACAAACUGAAACAUAGAAGGAUCCUUCUCAACAUCAGGAAACAGCUUUUUACUGUGAGGGUGACAGCACUGGCACAGUGAGGCUAUGGAUGUUAUUGCCAGCCUUGGAGGUAUUCAAAAGCUGUCUGAACACCGUCCCAGGUAACCAGCUUCAGAUGGCCCAGCUUGAACAAGGAUUGGACCAAAUGACCUCCAGAGGUCCCUUUUAAUCUCAGGAACUGUGGUUCUGUAGCACUUGCCCAGUGGAUUUAGACUACUUGGUCCAAGUAAAUGCUGUUAUUACGUUCUUUCUUACCAAACACUACCGAUCAAAUAUUUACCUUGACCUUACAGAGAAAAAGUGCCUGCGGUACCUCUACAGAAGUAGAUUAAUGAAACACAGUAAUCACAGCCCAAUGCUAUACCUCCUAAGAUGUCAGCCAGCAAUGGCUAUUGCCCUCCAAUCCAAUUCGUAAAAGAGUAUUUCUAAAAGAUACCAUAAUUCCUUGCAUUUGCGCAAGUUUCCUGUAGGACAGAUUCCUAGUGACCUUAGCAAGAGUCUGUAAUUACUCAUUACAUAAAGGCCCCUUUUCAGUGCUCAAGAAAGUGAGGAGCAGCUUCGUACCAUCUAGAUGACAGUUGAAGAUGAGCAAUAUUAACUUUAAAUAGAAAAUUAAUCUUUUUAUAGACUAUGCUUAAUCCUUGGGCAGAACCUUACAGUUAUUAGUACCACCUGGUGCAAUAUGCAUAAAAUUCGCUGCCACUGUUGAGACAGUCCAAAGCUUAUGCUAGAUUUCAAUUCCACUUAAGGUUUCAAAUAAGGAUUUAAAUGGGGUUUUGGAAUGUGGAGUGAAAGGGCCGGCUAAGCUAGUCAUUUGCCAAGGUGGUGCACUUGCUGUGAACUCAUUGUGUGUGGUGUCUAGGCCUAAAUAUGCAAAGGAAUAGAAUAUGCCUUCACUAAAUUUUAUAAAUAAAUUCUGACUGUACAUAUAAUUUUAAAUAUGGGUUUCAUAUAGAUGAUAAAAUAUGUUGCAAAAAAAUAAAAAGAACAAUGUCUUAUCUGGU